rnacentral:rRNA from 1 species
GACAGAGGUGCCAAGCGUUAGGCGGAAUCACUGGGCUUAAAGCGUGUGUAGGCGGAAUGGUAAGUACCUUGUGAAAUCCCACGGCUCAACCGUGGAACCGCUGGGUAUACGGGUUGUCUUGAGCCGGCUAGGGGCGAGCGGAACAGACGGUGGAGCGGUGAAAUGCGUAGAUAUCGUCUGGAACGCCGAAGGUGAAAACAGCUCGCUGGGGCCGCGCUGACGCUGAGACACGAAAGCCAGGGGGGCGAACGGG